UACGUAGGGGGCUAGCGUUGCUCGGAAUGACUGGGCGUAAAGGGCGCGUAGGCGGUUCGUACAGUUGGAUGUGAAAUUCCCGGGCUCAACCUGGGGGCUGCAUUCAAUACGUGCGGGCUUGAGUUCGGAAGAGGGUCGUGGAAUUCCCAGUGUAGAGGUGAAAUUCGUAGAUAUUGGGAAGAACACCGGUGGCGAAGGCGGCGACCUGGUCCGAUACUGACGCUGAGGUGCGAAAGCGUGGGGAGCAAACAGG
rnacentral:rRNA from 1 species